rnacentral:rRNA from 1 species
CCAACAGACACUGCCCGUCCUGGGCCUGGCUAGUACUUGGAUGGGUGACCACCUGGGAAUCCCAGGUGUCUUGGC